UACGAAGGGGGCUAGCGUUGCUCGGAAUUACUGGGCGUAAAGGGAGCGUAGGCGGACAUUUAAGUCAGAGGUGAAAUCCCGGAGCUCAACUCUGGAACUGCCUUUGAUACUGGGUGUCUUGAGUGUGAUAGAGGUAUGUGGAACUCCGAGUGUAGAGGUGAAAUUCGUAGAUAUUCGGAAGAACACCAGUGGCGAAGGCGACAUACUGGAUCAUUACUGACGCUGAGGCUCGAAAGCGUGGGGAGCAAACAGG
rnacentral:rRNA from 1 species